CCAGACUCCUAGGGGAGGCAGCAGUGAGGAAUAUUGGUCAAUGGGCUUACGCCUGAACCAGCCAAGUCGCGUGAGGGAAGACUGCCCUAUGGGUUGUAAACCUCUUUUGUCAGGGAGCAAUUGGCGCUACGUGUAGCGUUAUCGAGAGUACCUGAAGAAAAAGCAUCGGCUAACUCCGUGCCAGCAGCCGCGGUAAUACGGAGGAUGCGAGCGUUAUCCGGAUUUAUUGGGUUUAAAGGGUGCGCAGGCGGCACGGCAAGCCGGCGGUCAAAUCGCGGGGCUCAACCCCGCCCAGCCGUCGGAACUGCCGGGCUAGAGUGGGCGAGAAGUGCGCGGAAUGCGUGGUGUAGCGGUGAAAUGCAUAGAUAUUAGGAGGAACACCAGUGGCGAAGGCGGCUUACUGGACAGUAACUGACGUUGAGGCUCGAAAGCGUGGGGAGCAAACAGGAUUAGAUACCCGUGUAGU
rnacentral:rRNA from 1 species